CUGAAGCCAGGAUGCUACCCAUGGGAAGAUUAUCUUUGAGUCCAAUACUUUACUAGUGCCUAAGUAGAUACUGUGGGGCCAAGUUCAAGGAGGUGAAGACAUAACCCUGCUCUCGGGUAGCUCGCAGGGCUGACACGAGGCAGUGAAGAAGGAGCAUUCGCACAGCUGUGCACCCAAGCUGCCUGGUUUAGAGCUCGGGGUCGAGUUGCACCAGGCUAGAAGGAUGGGGGCUGUUCAAGUAGGGCAGGACAGCAGGACCCACCUCAGGUAGUCACGCCGGCACAGGAUGAGGUUGGCCUUGGUGUAGAGAGUGGAGCCCACCUCGCCCAGGCGACAGUCACAGCAGGCACACUUGAGGCAGUCCUCAUGCCAGUACUUGUCCAGUGCCUUCAGCAGGUACCGGUCCUUGAUCUUGCGGUUGCAGCCUGCGCAGCCCUUCUGUUUCCCCUUAGGUUGGACGGAGAGCAUCGGCACACCUGUGACGGGAAAAUCAGACAGAUGGGCCUGGGACUGCCCUGGAGCUCUGGGGCACCACCCCCUUCCAGGGAACGGGUCAAAUGCGGAGACUGAAGUUCGGGUAGAGCGAUGGCUAAACCACUAAACUGCGGAUGAUGGGGAUCUAUUCCUGUGCUUUCUCAACCCAGUCACCCCCUCUGACCUCUGCUGGACAGACCCGAGGACAGGGAAGUCCCCUCUAGAGAAGAGGGCUCAGACCUACUGCAGCACAAGACCAAGGGACAGAGAGACCCUCUGCACAAGAAGCUGCCUGCCAACCAGACCCACAACCUCAGCCAACUCCUACCUAUGCAGCCCAACCUAGGCUGCUACUUCCAAUGGGACGCAGGUUUCUCCAAACAGCAAAGCAUGUGGGCUCCAUCUGGACAGGCCUGAGUCACAGGAGAACACCCUGCCCACCCCAGCUACCCUCAGCAAGGCAGCGCUGUAUCGAUGAAUGCUAAAGCGACUCACACAGGAGACUUCAUGAAGGUUGGAAGACACUGCAAAGUAUGAAGAUGCACUCAGCCGCAAGACACAUGGGUGGAGCACACAAGUACUCCUCCACAGUCAUGGAAUCACAGGGCCACACAAGAAGGGGCUAUGUCCAUUUUAUUCUCCCCCACCAUAAAUUCUAUCAGUGCCCAGCUUGGAACGGACACACACCAGGUGUUCAGCAACACAUCUGGAGGCACAUUCAUGCUUGCAAGUGUGCAUAUGCAUGACUGGGUCCACACACAGGUUCAUGAGCUGAUGUAAAUCUCCACCAAGGAGGCACAGGUGCACACAGACAUGGACUGUCACACCCAUCACUCUAAAACAAACUCGGAUUGGAACAAAACCUGGCACCUUGGGUACAGGAGGAAGCAGAAGUCACAUGAAUCCCCCAGCGCUCAGCCCUGUCAUCAUCCCCUCCCACCUCAGCAGCUGAGAGUAGGACUCAGAGGGUGUCAUAGAUCAGGGCUCUUGCCAUCCACCUGGGCCUAUCCCAGAUGUGGAGCUGCAGAGAAGAACCCCAGCAGAGCCCAUCUG
rnacentral:lncRNA from 1 species